rnacentral:lncRNA from 1 species
CCUCCCUCACUUACCUACAGGGAUGUAUCAUCAGGUUUCUAGUCUUCUCUUGAAAAGUUAGUAACAAUCACAAACACUUACUUUGACUGUUUUAGACAACAUUGAAAUAAUGGGUUUCUUAAGGAAGUAUUGAACUGAACAACUACUGAACAUGAGUCUAGGUAAGUAAUAAAAAUAGAAGGAAGGAAGGAAGGGAAAAAAUGAGUUUUAAAAGCUCUGAAGCUGAAGUGAAAUUCUGACCCUAAUGAUCACAGUGUAUAUAACUUUAUAUCCACUGUAUUAACGUAUAUACAAAGAAAUGAAAAUUGUAAAUUAAUUGUUUAGCAGUGUUAAACAAACACUACAUUUUAAAAUUCCAGUACACUGAAAAUAUACUUAUCCAUAACUCAUAGUGACAGAAAAGAUAAACAGGCCCCUUGACAACAUAAAACAUUUCCCAAGGUACGCCACAAUGCACAAUUUUAGACGAAAACAUCUGAAAGCUCAUCUUUGCUUCAGUUUUGACCUCUACCAUAGACUUGCUUUAAACACACCCCUCCCGUGUCCACGGCUGCCUAACCAAACUGUUUGAGUUAGCAGUGUGUGCAAAGAUGUGCCUUCCAGGCAAACUUUUGUUUUCUAAAAGCUAAUCUCUCCAAAUACUUCCAGUUGGAAAACGUCCACUUCAGCUACUUGACACCAGGGCGUCGCUUUCUCCCCUCUGCUUACCUGCCACUACUUAAUUAUUCUUCCAAGCGGACUCCGGGCACGCUGGGGAGGUAGCUCUUUAAGCACUUCUGAAUCCAUGAUGACUAUAUAUGUACACAUCUUACACACUCCCACAGGUCUCUCACACCCUUUCUCCCGCCCGCCCGUUCGGAGCCCUCGCCCAGGCCACUUCGCAAACCUCACGUCGCGAAUACCAGCCCACCUGGGAGCAAACAGUACUCGAGGAAUAAUCCUCAAGAUCAAGAAACUGACUGGACUGAAUUUCAACAUGUGGUGAGAGAAAACGGGAGGGGGGAGAAUAGGAGCAUUACAGAUAGCAGCUGUCCUUUAAGUGGUUUAAAUCUGUUGGUUAAAAAGCUGAAUAAACAAAUACACAGAUGGGUUCAGUUCCUCGGGGAUUCCGGAGCCUGAGAAGCCUCCCCAGCGGUGUCCAGUCGGCCUCUCUUGACUCGUCCCCACGCAAAACGCACACUGGUCCCGCUCUCAGCCGCGGCCGCCUCGCACGUGUCUGUCCCUCCCGUUGGUCCUGGGGAGCGUCACCCACGCGCCAGGCGCCCGAAGAGACUUACCUAAGAGAUCUGAGAGCCUGAGGACAGUAGGGCAACUUUUCCUCCCUGCUCUACACAGGCGGGAACACUCACGGCCAGCGCGGGUCCACGCGGAGGCCAGCACCCAGGUCGGGCUGUCGGGCGCCGUCUGGCCUGCGGGGCGGAGAGAGGCGCGCGGGCGACGUGCGGGCGCCGCGCCUCCACCCCGUGGGUCGGCCCGCGCCGCCGCCGCCGCACGUGCGCCGCUGCAAACGCGCCGGGGCGUCGGGACCCGCGCUCCGCCAGGGUCAAAGUCAACGCGGCGCGCCUGCCCUCCGCGGAUAUACAGGUAAAAGCCAACCGAGAAGCCCUCCCUUUCUCGGAAAGGUGUCUGCGCCCCUCGCACAUGCCCUCCCCACCCCCGAAGAACCGCGAGGCGCGAUUUCACCCCAAACCCACGCACGGAGUGGAAAGACCUUUCCAAAGCGGAAGCAAAGUAAGACCAGGACGGAGACCAGGGGAAGCGGGUCGUGCUAACCGUGGACGCGGGAAAGAGUGUGAUCCGGGGCAGCAGGGAGAUGCGCGAUUAUCCCGAAGCGUCACUAGGGGCCAGGAGUUUCUUCCCUCGAGAGACAGGGGUGUCCCCUCUCCGACUGCAGUUCCCGGAGAAGUACUUCUGAAAUGUACGCUCAAGUGUCUAACUUAGAGACGAGGAGCGUGCACUUGCCCAAUGGAGUAAAUAAAGGUCAGCAGUUGGAUCAAUAAAGUGUGUGCUUCCAACCGCCAGAUGUUUUUACUGUGGUGUCUCCUCCCGGGGGGGAGGGAGGAAGGGAGGAAGAGGAAGAGACAACAAACAAAAAUAAAAGAGUAAACAAACACAUCUGGUGUUUCAACACACAUCUUCCUCAAGCCGCGGUCUCUCUGGACAAGGCAAGAUUUUGCAUAUUCAAAACUAAAAAUCAUCCGUGAGCCAACAGCAAUCUCCCCUCUCUGGACUCCCCCUUCCCCCAUCACAAAGCAAAAUGAAAAAGAACAACAAGUGGUGAUACGGGGUAAGGAACGCGACCCCGACGCCAAGCCGAAAUUUGACACAUGUCACACCCGCCCCGGCGCGCCGAGCGCUGCGGCUGGGGAGAAACUUUGCCGCCGACGCCACUGGAGGAGCGCGGAGCAAAGUCGCAGCCCGGCCCGGCGUGGAGGUGGCUGGGACGGGGUGGGGUGCGGAGGUGCAGCGCGCCAGAGUGAGGGUGAAGAAACUUACCGCGACGAGGGACGCCUGGGCAGCGUCCCGGGAGAUAAGCACAUUCUACUUUAUGAAUAUCUUCAGAGAAUUGUGGUGCCUGUAAUUGGGGAUGGCUCCCUAGAGGGGCUGCUCUCCAGGCACAGAGCCUAUGCUCCACCAGAGAGUCCCUUCUGCAAGCAGAGCAGUAGCCCCUGCCCACCCUGGAGGGAAUCCUCUUCUAACUGCCAACUUUGGUUGACAGAUAAAAGGGAAAUUCCUUUGACCUGGCAAGCCACAGAGAAACUGUUCCACUCACAGCAUCCAGAAGGAAAAGAUUCAGAAACCAAGUGGCCAUCCCUGAUGUACAGCUGAUUGGACAUGAGUGGGGACUGGGAAGAAAUCGAAAUAAUUUGCUUCUCUCUUCUAAUCAUUCAGGAUGCGACACUGAGAGGCAAUUCCAAAGUCCUAUGUGAAAAUCAUAGAGGAAACUUUUGCAAGAUUUAUCAUGGACACUGAAGAAGAUGAAGAAAAUAUUUUUUGGAAUAGUAGCAUAUUGAUUAAAUAUCAUGGUGAGGAGUGAAUGGCCUUUAAAAUUAAGGCCAAUAUAAGAUAAAGACAACUUUCUGAAGCAACUUCUUCAUUUGUGCUGUUUGAAAGAUAAUUGCCUUGUAAAAAGUUCCAAAGUGGCAGCAAUAGUUGAGACUCUAGAAACCGCUUGAAACUCUUCUUCCUCAUAAGCACUGACUGCCUUUUGAUCAUUUAGAAGUGUGUCUUCAGUCACUAGAAUAGACAUCAAUUAUCUCUUUAUUCUGGAUUUUCCAAGUGUAAAACAAAUUUCUCAGACAAUUGACUGAUUGAAUCUGAGAUACUGUGGACGUCAACUUGAACACCAGUGAUCUGCUUAGAUAGGUCAUCCUCUUUUUCAUACCAGUGUUAAGUCAAUGCAGUAAAUCAUUAAGAUAGAACUGCUGAUUUUAAAAAAAGUAAACCAUAAAUUGGAACGAAAAGAAUUACAAUAGGGAGUAACUCACAUUUGGGAUAUGUCUUUCUCAUGGUAGAAGGAGAAGAGAAAUAGUCAAAACAUGCAACGGCCCUUAAAACUUCUCAGGUAUAGCACGCAUCAUUCAUGCUCACAUUUUAUUGGACAAAGCAAGUCAAAUGGUCAAACCCAAAGUCAAUGGAGUGAAAAAGAUUCCUGAAGAGAAUCUCCACAAGUCACAUGACAAUGGAUGGGAGGUAAAAUUGUCUUAUAGGGGGAAAGAGCAUAAUUGUGAGCGAUACAAUCUACUACACUUGUAUAUCUCUCACAGCAGACUCUGUGUACCUUGAGAAAUUUUAUGGCUUUUAUCACUUAGCAUAUUUCCUGGUAUAUAACAGCAGGUUAAUAACAUUUUUUAAAAGUUAAAUAAGGAAAAAAGGAAGGAACCUAACAUUUAUUUAGUGGCAUUGUAUCCGGCACCACCAUGCUUUGUUACCUCAAUGCGACAAACUAGGCAAACAAGAUUCCCAGGUAAAUUAACCUGUGCUUAACAACAAUUAAGGAGCAGUGGACCCAAGAUUUUACCUCCAGCCUGUCUGACUCUAAAGCUGCUUUCUAUUUCACCAUCCUGUCUUUGUAGAAGUAUAUAAUCUACAAAUCUUAUGUAGUGAUUUCUUAAUAUUAAAAUAAAGAAAAGAGGUAGAUAUGGUAGUACUAUGAAUGGUGAUUCUAUUUCUGUACCAAAUCUUACAUUUGACCUAUUCUUAUCAUACCUCCCACCAUUUUUCUAUUUCAGGCAUUUGUCACAUCCCAUUUAGAUUUCCAUAAUAACCCCUUAAUUAUUCUCCCCUCUUGCUAGAUUCCCUUCUACAUUUAAGUAAUGUUCCCAAAGCAUCUCUUUUAUCAUGUCAUUCUGCUGUACGAAAGUGUUUCAAGGUUUCUAAUUAUCUACACUACAAACUGUAGUUUAUGCUCAACCUACAUGGUCUUACUGUUCUUCCUCAAAUAGCUCUGCUGAACUAUUUGCAUCUUUAAGAUCUAAUCUUCACUUUUCCAAAUACAUACUUUGUUUUCUCUGCUCAGUCCACCUAGAAUAACCCCCCUUUUGCCAUCAUUUAUGGAAACGGUUUUCAACUUGAAGUCAAUGCUGCUUAUUCAAGAAAGACAGCUCAGGUCCCCACCUGAAAGUGGUCUCUCCCUCCUCUCUUUCCAUGGAACUUCCUAGCUGUGAGAUGACCAAAGUUACUGAGGACGUUUAGAUCAUACAGGACUGGAUUCGAUGUGACAACUAUCUUCAGAUAUUUGAAGGGUAGUCCACUGGAAAAAAGAUAGGCUUACUUUCCUUUAAGCUGACGUUCUAAAGGAAAGAACAAGAACCACUGGGGAUAUGUUAUAGGGGAAAAGUUGCAGCAACUUCAGUAUCUGCCUCAAGAAAUAUUUCUUUCCUCUUUUUUUGAGGAAGAUUAGCCCUGAGCUAACAUCUGCUGCCACCAAUCUUCCACUUUUUGCUGAGGAAGAUUCGCCCUGAGCUAACAUCUGUGCCCAUCUUCCUCUACUUUAUAUGUGGGAUGCCUGCUUCAACAUGGCUUGAUAAGUGGUGUGUAGGUCCAUGCUCAGGAUCUCAACUGGUAAACCCCCCGCCGCCAAAGCCUAGCACGUGAACUUUACCGCUAUGCCACCGGACCAACCCCAAGAAAGAUUUCUAUCUUUAACGAAAAUGUUUAAGCAAAAUGUGGAUGCUCCCCAAUAGUGGGUAUUUAUGAUUCAAACAUCAUUAUUUAUCUUAUAGUAAUUUGUGUCCCUGGUGUUUUCCCUACUAGACAUGAGCUCUUUAAGAAUAGGGACUUUUGUUUUGUUUGUGUCUCUCAUUGUGUUUCUUCGAUUGACUUGGUUGUGCCAGGGGAUAUGGACACAUGCCACUAGUACCACAUGGUAUAAAUAUAAAAUAGAUUUUAUUAGGAGAAAAACUUUCAAGCAAAGAAAUGGCAGAGUACACAUCGUUGUGUAAAUUCUCAUAAUCCCAAAUAGAAGAGGGUUUAGAUGGUGCCUGGCUUGGCUGACUGCACCAGGGAAAGUGCCCAGCUGAAGGGGCUUCAGGGGUAGGGUACAUCUAGUUGAGCGUAACUUCUAUGCUAGAGGAACUGGCC